rnacentral:snoRNA from 1 species
CUGCAUUCUUUUAAACCCCCUGGUAGUUUUUGUACUGACAUCCAGGACUAGAAGGGAUGCAAAAUUAAAUGUUCCAGAGAUUUUUCCAAAGUGAGGAGCAGCCUUCGCUUUGCUUCUCACUAUUUCACGUCUCUGACAUCU